GAUAAACGCUGGCGGCGUGCCUAACACAUGCAAGUCGAACGAAGCUCUCUGAAUUGAGUUUUCGGACAAGAGGAAGAGAUGACUUAGUGGCGGACGGGUGAGUAAUGCGUGAGCAACCCGCCUUUCAGAGGGGGACAACAGUUGGAAACGACUGCUAAUACCGCAUAAUGUAUUUUGAUGGCAUCAUCGAAAUACCAAAGAUUAUAUCGCUGAAAGAUGGGCUGACGUCUGAUUAGCUAGUUGGUGAGGUAACGGCUCACCAAGGCUGCGAUCAGUAGCCGGACUGAGAGGUCGAACGGCCACAUUGGGACUGAGAUACGGCCCAGACUCCUACGGGAGGCAGCAGUGGGGAAUAUUGGGCAAUGGGCGCAAGCCUGACCCAGCAACGCCGCGUGAAGGAAGAAGGCUUUCGGGUUGUAAACUUCUUUUGGCAGGGACGAAACAAAUGACGGUACCUGCAGAAUAAGCACCGGCUAACUACGUGCCAGCCGCCGCCGUAA
rnacentral:rRNA from 1 species